GACACAGGCAGAGGGAGAAGCAGGCUCCAUGCAGGAGCCCAAUGCAAGAUUCGAUCCCGGAACCCCAGGAUCAUGCCCUGAGCCGAAGGCAGAGAGGCUCAACCACUGAGCCACCCAGGUGUCCCAUAAUGUUUCUAUUUUGAGUGCAAUUGAUUUUUUUUUUUUUUUUAAGAAGGCUCCACACCCAGCAUGGAGCCCAACACAGGACCUGAACUCAUGACCGUGAGAUGAACAAUGUAUCUGGAAUCAACAACAGACACUUAAUUGACUGAGGCAACCAAGCACCCCAAGUACAAUUGAUUAUUUAAGGAAUGUCAACAACCUUGAUUUCUUUCCUGAACCUAUGGAGCAACAGUAACAAUCUCUGAUUCACUUAAAGGCACUUGCAGAUUUUUCCCUUCUUCAGCAACCUAUAAGCAGCAGAUAUGGAUGAUAUACAUGACAUCAUUUUCUGUAUUAUCUACUGAAAACACAAAAUGUCCUUUGGUUUCCAGAAGCAGACUAAGGGAAAUUACACUAAUUAUCCUAAAGGUUUACAAAGGUCCAGGAUGAAAGUGAUUCACAACUGCUGCUUUCAGAUGAUUCUGUUUUUACUAUGUGGUUAUCGGGGUGGCAGAAGCCAUGGAGGUCCACUGCUCCGAUCUCCUUUCAAGACAAUUUGCUGCAAAAGGGUGGGUGCCAGCCAGCUAGCCUCCAGCUGCUGCGUACCUUUGGAUCAUCCACAGCACUCAUGCCAAGGCAAAACCUCUCUGGGCCCCAGGCAGUGAAUGUCCAAUGCGGUACUCAACACAUGUGGAUAUUCUUUGCUUAGGCUCUUGCUAAGACUUUCUCAAAAUUAAACUGCAGUCUGGACCCCCAAACCUUCUCCUUUUUCCUUUUAUAGACAUCAGGCUGGCCUCAUGGUCUAACGAUUCCCUCACCUACAUCCUCCUUACCCUUCUAUUGUUCAUAGACAUCCUACCACUAAGUGUCUUGCACAUUGAAUUUCAUCCUGUCUGCCUCUUGAAGACCUUGAACUGAUAUAUAAGGUUGGAAGGGAAGCUACUUAUAAUUAAUGAUUUUACAAUUUUUACAUACUAAGAGUGUAAUAUUAUUUAUGUAAGAUAACUGUUCUCCACUUUUGCCAUCUAGGAUUUCUUGUAUAUUUAUAUGGAAUAUAUGAUUGAAAGUAGAAAACAUUUCACUUCUUAUAGGCUAUAGCUUAUUUACUUUGUAUCCAAACACUAUCUCAUUAUCUAUGCCUCAAUGAAGUAGUUUCAUAUUGUUUUACUUUUAUUUGUUUAUGUUCGGGGCUUCUGAGAUGCAUCUUCAGGAGUGACCAUUGUUGAAAAAAAUAAAUAAUGAAAGAACAAGACCUUAGUACGACA
rnacentral:lncRNA from 12 species